AGCAGUCGCCGCGGUAAUACGUAGGGUGCGAGCGUUAAUCGGAAUUACUGGGCGUAAAGCGUGCGCAGGCGGUUAUGUAAGACAGGUGUGAAAUCCCCGGGCUUAACCUGGGAACUGCGCUUGUGACUGCACAGCUAGAGUAUGGCAGAGGGGGGUGGAAUUCCACGUGUAGCAGUGAAAUGCGUAGAGAUGUGGAGGAGCACCGAUGGCGAAGGCAGCCCCCUGGGCCAAUACUGACGCUCAUGCACGAAAGCGUGGGGAGCAAACAGGAUUAGAUACCCCUGUAGUCCCUGUCUCUUAUAC
rnacentral:rRNA from 1 species